rnacentral:rRNA from 1 species
UACGUAGGGCGCAAGCGUUGUCCGGCAUUCUUGGGCGUAAAGAGCUCGUAGGUGGUUUGUUACGUCUGCUGUGAAAACCUAGGGCUUAACCCUGGGCCUGCAGUGGAUACGGGCAGACUAGAGGUAGGUAGGGGAGAAUGGAAUUCCCGGUGUAGCGGUGAAAUGCGCAGAUAUCGGGAGGAACACCGGUGGCGAAGGCGGUUCUCUGGGCCUUACCUGACACUGAGGAGCGAAAGCGUGGGGAGCGAACAGG